CAUUUGAGCGAUGUGAAAUUGUUAACAAGAUGAGGGUUUCAACGGACUGAGUUGUUGUUCUUGUGCCUUGCCUGAAAUCAGAGGAGAGAAGAAGGAAAUCAGAGGUGGGCUCGAAGCUGAACUUCGAGCUAAACGAGAAAAGGGAUCAAAGAGAUUCGUUUUUCUUCAAGAUUUUGGCCUGAAAUCAGGGGAGAGAAAGAAGAAGGAAGGUUCGAGUAGAGCUUGAAGCUAAACUUCGAGCUAAACAAGAGGAGGGUUUGAAUAGGAGUUGUUGUUCUUCCUAUUUUGACUUCAAUUGGAGGGUGGGCCAUUAAUCUUUGGUACCUUGGGUCUAUGUCAUGCCAUCCAUUUAACAUUCCCAAAAUCUCAGCAUAGAUGGUGUUGUAGGCAUCCUUAUCAGAACUUCAAAGGCACAUAUCCUGGAAUGUUACUCGGAAUGUUGUUUUGGUCAGCAGCUAAAGCAUCUACUACAUUCCUAUUUGAGAAGGCAAUGAAUGAAAUGAAGGCCAUUAACAAAGAUGCUCAUGAUUGGUUGCAUAAAAAUCCACAAAAAAUCUGGUCCAGACACAUUUUUGAUUUUAGAUGCAAGAGCGACCACAUGACAAAUAAUAUGAUUCAAUCUAUUAGGAGCAAGCCCAUUCUUAUUUUAAUUGAUGAGAUAAGGAAGCAACUACUUGAAAUGAUGGAGUCAAGAUAUUGGAUGGGUUGCACCUAUAAGGGGAAAGUCACCCCAAGGAUUCAAAAGAUGCCAACUGUCAUAAGGAGUGAAUCUAGACGGUGUAUGGUUCUUGCAUCUAGAUUAGAUGAGUUUGAAAUCACAGAUAGCCAAGGCAAAUAUGUGAUUUGAAGAAACAUUCUGGUGGAUGCAAUGUCUGGGAUGCUACAGGACUACCAUGUAAGCAUGCGAUUGCCUAUAUUGAAAACAAGAUGGAAGACUUGGAAACUUAUAGUGAUCAAUACUACAUUGUACAAAAAUACUUGAAAGUGUACAAAGACAUAAUUCAUCCACUUCCUAAUCUGGAUGAAUUAAAAGAAGAACAUCCCAUGGGCAUUGUUCAGCCUCCACCCUCGAAGAGGUUAGUAGGAAGAUGGAAUACAGUUAGGAAGAAGGAACCUGGUGAAGGACCAUAUGGAGAAUUUAGAAAAAGGUCUUUAAGUCUUAGAUGUGAAAGAUGCAAAGUGGAAGGACACAACAUUUGCACCUGCACAGGACCUCCAGUUAAGAGUAAAAAAAUGCUUCUUCUAAUGUGAAGGGAAAGGAAAGGAGUGGAAGCAAACCUGAGAGCAACUUGUCUCAAAUAUAAACAAGUUCUUCAUAGGCUUCUUCAAGUUGCAUAAUUGAUGAGAAUGUACAGACCAAGAUUAAAGCCAUUUCAAAAGCUAAAAAGAGGAUAAAAUGAAAGCAAGGGAGAAGGCAACGAAGAUAGAAAGUAGUAAGAAGAUUUGAAUAGUAAAACACAAGAGUACAUGGGAUAUGGUGUUAACUUUAAUAUCAAUGAUGUUUUAUGGAUGAUGACUUCUUUUUAAUGUUAGUUGGAUGUAAUGGUUAUUUUAAUGUACUUGAACCUUCCUUUGGAUAUGGUUGCUUUAGGAAUGAUGAUAAAUGCUUGCAUUUUAUUUGGA